CCUACGGGGCGCAGCAGUGAGGAAUAUUGGUCAAUGGACGAGAGUCUGAACCAGCCAAGUAGCGUGAAGGAUGACUGCCCUAUGGGUUGUAAACUUCUUUUAUAUGGGAAUAAAAUGUUCCACGUGUGGGAUUUUGUAUGUACCAUAUGAAUAAGGAUCGGCUAACUCCGUGCCAGCAGCCGCGGUAAUACGGAGGAUCCGAGCGUUAUCCGGAUUUAUUGGGUUUAAAGGGAGCGUAGGUGGAUUGUUAAGUCAGUUGUGAAAGUUUGCGGCUCAACCGUAAAAUUGCAGUUGAAACUGGCAGUCGUGAGUACAGUAGAGGUGGGCGGAAUGCGUGGUGUAGCGGUGAAAUGCUUAGAUAUCACGAAGAACUCCGAUUGCGAAGGCAGCUCACUGGACUGCAACUGACACUGAGGCUCGAAAGUGUGGGUAUCAAACAGGAUUAGAUACCCCAGUAGUC
rnacentral:rRNA from 1 species